UGGGGAAUUUUGGACGAAUUGGGCGAAAGCCUGAUCCAGCAAUGCCGCGUGUGUGAAGAAGGCCUUCGGGUUGUAAAGCACUUUUGUCCGGAAAGAAAUCCUUGGCUCUAAUACAGUCGGGGGAUGACGGUACCGGAAGAAUAAGCACCGGCUAACUACGUGCCAGCAGCCGCGGUAAUACGUAGGGUGCAAGCGUUAAUCGGAAUUACUGGGCGUAAAGCGUGCGCAGGCGGUUUGCUAAGACCGAUGUGAAAUCCCCGGGCUCAACCUGGGAACUGCAUUGGUGACUGGCAGGCUAGAGUAUGGCAGAGGGGGGUAGAAUUCCACGUGUAGCAGUGAAAUGCGUAGAGAUGUGGAGGAAUACCGAUGGCGAAGGCAGCCCCCUGGGCAAGUACUGACGCUCAUGCACGAAAGCGUGGGGAGCAAACNGGAUUAAUNCCCUGGUAGUCCACGCCCU
rnacentral:rRNA from 1 species